CUGUCACUUACAGAUGGGCCCGCGGCGCAUUAGCUAGUUGGUGAGGUAACGGCUCACCAAGGCCACGAUGCGUAGCCGACCUGAGAGGGUGAUCGGCCACACUGGGACUGAGACACGGCCCAGACUCCUACGGGAGGCAGCAGUAGGGAAUCUUCCGCAAUGGACGAAAGUCUGACGGAGCAACGCCGCGUGAGUGAUGAAGGUUUUCGGAUCGUAAAACUCUGUUGUUAGGGAAGAACAAGUAUCGGAGUAACUGCCGGUACCUUGACGGUACCUAACCAGAAAGCCACGGCUAACUACGUGCCAGCAGCCGCGGUAAUACGUAGGUGGCAAGCGUUGUCCGGAAUUAUUGGGCGUAAAGCGCGCGCAGGUGGUUCCUUAAGUCUGAUGUGAAAGCCCACGGCUCAACCGUGGAGGGUCAUUGGAAACUGGGGAACUUGAGUGCAGAAGAGGAAAGUGGAAUUCCAAGUGUAGCGGUGAAAUGCGUAGAGAUUUGGAGGAACACCAGUGGCGAAGGCGACUUUCUGGUCUGUAACUGACACUGAGGCGCGAAAGCGUGGGGAGCGAACAGGAUUAGAUACCCUGGUAGUCCACGCCGUAAACGAUGAGUGCUAAGUGUUAGAGGGUUUCCGCCCUUUAGUGCUGCAGCAAACGCAUAAGCA
rnacentral:rRNA from 2 species